UGCCAGCCGCCGCGGUAAUACGGAGGGUGCGAGCGUUAAUCGGAAUUAUUGGGCGUGAAGGGCGCGCAGGCGGUCUUGUCCGUCAGGUGUGAAAGCUCGGGGCUCAACCCCGGAAGUGCACUUGAAACAGCAAGACUUGAAUACGGUAGAGGAGAGAGGAAUUCCUGGUGUAGAGGUGAAAUUCGUAGAUAUCAGGAGGAACACCGAUGGCGAAGGCAUCUCUCUGGGUCGAUAUUGACGCUGAGGAGCGAAGGCGUGGGUAGAGAACGGGAUUAGAUA
rnacentral:rRNA from 1 species